AUGGAGGACGCCGUCGACGCUUUCAUCGUGCGCAUGGUGGAGGACGGCCAUGACGACGGCUCCACCAACAUGAAGAACAAAGUCAAGAAGUUCCUCAAAAGGGCCACCAAACUGCUUACCAAGGGUAAGGCUCUUCAUCAGAUCUCUGGUGAAAUUGAAGAAGCUCAGCGGCUCGCCAAGGAGUUGGGCGACCUGCGCCAAAGGUAUAUGAUUGACGCGCAAGACAAGGGUACUGGCGAUGCCAUUGACCCUCGCCUGAAGGCGGUGUACAAAGAUGUUACAGAGCUUGUUGGGAUAGAUCACCUAAGGGAUGAGUUGAUCAAGAAGCUGUGUGAUUGCAAUGAGAGGUCCAAGGACCGCUUAAGGACCAUGUCUAUUGUUGGAUUUGGCGGACUGGGCAAGACAACUCUGGCCAAAGCAAUGUAUGACAAGAUCAAAGCGCAGUUUGAUAGUGUAGCAUUUGUUUCCGUGUCUCGGAAUCCUGACAUGGCCAAGGUUUUCAAGAAGGUCUUAUAUGAACUUGAUAAGAGCAAGUAUGCAACCAUCAACGAAGCUGCUAGGGACAAUGAACAACUCAUCGAUGAACUGAAAUUGUUUCUUCAGGACAAGAGGUACCUAAUUGUAAUCGAUGACAUAUGGGAUGAAAAAGCAUGGGAACUUAUUAAGUGUGCUUUCUCUGACAACUGCCUUGGUAGUCGAGUAAUGACUACCACCCGCAUAGGCAGUAUCUCUAAAGCAUGUUGCUCUUCUGGUGAUGAUAUAAUAUAUCAGAUGAAACCACUUACUGAUGAUAACUCCAAAAGACUCUUUUACAAAAGAAUAUUUCCUGAAGGAAGUGUGUGUCCUGCUGAAUUGGAGCGAGUAUCUAAGGAAAUCUUAAAAAAAUGUGGUGGAGUACCAUUAGCCAUCAUUACUAUUGCUAGUAUUUUAGCUAGUAAUGGUCAAGAUCAACAGGUGAAGCCAAAGUAUCAGUGGGACACCAUACUUGGCUCUAUUGGUCGUGGAUUUGGAGAAGGUGGUAGUGCGAAGGACAUGCAGAGAAUAUUGUCCUUUAGUUAUUACGAUUUACCUUCUCAUUUGAAGGCUUGUUUAUUAUACCUCAGCAUAUUUCCAGAGGACUUUGUGAUAAGGAGAGACCGUUUGAUACGGUUGUGGAUAGCCGAAGGCCUUGUGCAAUGUGGAGAACAGGAAACUGGACUAUUUGAGCUCGGAGAGAGUUACAUCAAUGAGCUCUCAAAUCGAAACUUGAUUCAACCAGUAAAUGUUGAUCAUGCAGGCAAGGCUGAAACUUGUCGCGUGCAUGAUAUGUUGCUUGAUCUGUUGUGUUACCUGUCCAGUGAACAAAACUUUGCUACAAUAUUAGAUGGUACACAGCAAAGCAAAUCUAUUUCACACAGCCAGAGUCGGAGAUUAUCUUUUCAAAAUAGCAUGUCAGAGCCCAGCACCAAUCUGGUCGAUGCCACAAGUAUGCCACAACUGAGGUCUGUUGUUCUCUUUAAAGCAGAUAUUGAUCUAAUCCAGACUAUUUCAUGCUUUCAAGUUUUACGUGUAUUGGAUUUAGAAGGUUGUGAUCUUGGGAGAAACCGCCACGAUGUUGAUCUCAGGUAUAUUAAGAAUUUAUUACACCUAAGGUAUCUGGGGCUAAGAAGAACUCAUGUUCGUGAGAUCCCUGUGGAAAUAGGAAAACUAAAGUUUUUGGAGACACUCGACUUAGCAGAUAAUGGAUCAAGUGUACCCGUGAUUCCGUCAAGUGUUGUCUGUCUAAAACGUUUGAUGUUCCUAGAUGCAGACGACGCGGUGUUACCCAUUGGGAUCGGGAACCUGAAGUCCUUAGAAGCGCUGACUGGAACAUUGGUGGAUGUGAAAGAGUUUGGGCAACUGGUCGAGCUGAGAGUGCUCUACCUUUACUGGAAUGGGGACGACAAGAGCAUGUGCAAUUCUUUCGUGGUGUCCCUGGGCAAGCUGCAAAAAAUGCAGCGUCUCACAAUUCGUGGUGUAGGGGAUGCAAGGUCUGAUGUCAGCUGGGAUGGUUGGGUGCCCACCCCACUGCUUCGGUACCUUUGGUUUACAGAUUGCGCCAUCGCAUUGCCUAGGUGGGUCAAUUCAUCAUCGUUUCCCCUCCUCUCCUCCAUGAGUAUUUCAGUGGACAGAGUCCGGCCGGAAGUUGACAUUCAAAUCCUCGGGACGCUUCCCGCUCUUCGUUAUCUCUUGUCUAUGGGCCAACAAAGAUCAGCACACUCAUGUUGA
rnacentral:rRNA from 1 species